AUGAUAUGGGGGAUGCAUGAGCUCGGAUUCUUCUUUAAACACACACACAGCUUGCAGAGCCAGCCUAGUGUCAGCUGCAAACAUCAAAGACGGCACUCGAGUCAGAGAUGUGGCCUAGCUGGAAACGGUACUCCAGGUGCAUUCAGCCAUGGUGUGUAUGAAGGAGAUGCAAGUUCAUUUCUUGUUCUGAUGUAAAGCCCUAAACAUUUUUUGAGUCCUCUUUUAAAUGUCUGUCGAUGAAAAAGCAAAAUGAAUAAAUAAAUAAAAUAAAUGAAUAAAUAAAUAAAUAAUGUAACCAAAUAUGACAAACAAUAAUUUAAAAUGACGUAAUCACAAACCAUUUCAAUAAAUGCUUGAAUUUCUAUAUAAAAAUAUAAAUAUAGGCCUUAUUUCAAAUGUAAUUUUGCCCCUACUAAAAUGACCAAAAGUUAGUGUACCUCCUAGUGUACAACCAAGCGGAUGAAGUACACUAGCUGCACAACAUUGUUUGAAAAUAAGUAUAGAUGAAUCAUGUGAUGACUGUAGAAAAUAUAGAGAAAUCAAGGAAAAUAUUCUUUGUGAACAGAAUAUUUUUAUUGUGUGUCAUUCCCAUUCAAGCUGCAAUUUUGUUUAGGGCUGCAACUAAUGAUUGUUUUAAUUGAUUGAUUAAUCUGUUGAUUAUUUAUUAGAUUAAAGAACGUGUAAACAUUAUAGUUUUAAUUAAUUAAAUGAAUAUAAUCCAUUAUUUUAAAAAAAUAAAUAAGAAUAAUCUUUUCACAUUCUGCCCAAUGUUGUCCUCCAAACAAUGUGCAAUUUGAAAGACAAUGAAAACAAAUAUAGUGAACGUAUCGAAAAUAUGUAGGCAUUGUGAAGUUAAUGGUUACUUGCAAAACAGGGUUAAAAUUAAAAUUGGUUGUUUACCAUUUCAUUGUUUAUUAUGAAAAAUAAAGAAAAAGGCAUUUUCUUAUCUGAACAUAUUACAUUCUAACUAACAAAAAUUACAUUUCUUGUUGCAUGUAAAAUUUUAAACUUACAUUGAAUGUAUAAUAAGAUACAGUUUAACAGAGACAUGUUUGCUGUCUGGAGGAGCCUCAAUACUUGAGUGACUUUUUAAUAUUUACAGAUAAAGACAACCUUAAAAUAUGUCAUAUGCUGAGUAAAGCAUUCAUCAAACACAUUAAACAGCACAUGUGUCUAUCAAAGCACAUAACAAGCGGCGUUAAACUACAUGCUUUUGUUUAAAGUGUUUAAGACCGGGCAUACACUGUGCAAUUUUUGUCCAAUUUUGAGCUGAUUUCUGAGUCUUACAACUCUUUUGAGCCGGGCCGAAUUUCAGCUUUGUCAUAGGUCUUUUGACUUGCAGUGUACAGGGGGAAGUGAUUAGCCUCUCCCGACCGGCAAUCGGAUGGUCCGAUGAAUUUCUGGAAUGUCCAAAAUUUUGGGUCACCCCUCUUGAAGGUAUCACAAAGUUGAAGCUUUGUGGAAGAUUUUUUUCCUGUCACGGAUCUGCAGGAAAUGGGACCCAAAUGCAGAAUGAGCAGACAAGGGUAUUUUAUUAACAAAACAGACUGGAACAGCUGGAGGAAUUUGCAGUGAAACAGUUCAAACAGAGGGGCAGGGCAGACAACAAUACAGGCAGGAGGGAUGACCACAGAGACAAUCCGAUAUGACCACGGGCUCAAGCACAGAGGAGGCAGCUCAAGAGGAAGGACCAGGCAGACACACAGGAAACCCGUAGCUUUAAGUAAAAAUAAUGUCACCAGUCUAGCCGCCAGGUAGGGGCUCACGGGACCAGAGUCUUGACACGUGAGAGAGGUGAGCUGCUUCCAAGCAGUGGGGUUCAGUGGCCAGGGAUUCUGAGAUAGGGUAAGACAGGACAAACAAAAACAAGACGAGACUCAAAAUGCCACAACAAUAAGACAAUUGAAAACAAUAAGAACCAUGCAAAAGAAAUAACCAAAGCUACCCAAAGAUAUAAUCAAAGAGUAAAAACAAAAAGCCAAGAUCCAAAACUGGAAUCACUUAAACAAGAGUAGAUGAAAAUCUAAAUCAAAUGAGAAACAAAACUAGAUUAGAAUGCACAACAAAUUUAUUUUUCUUUCCAUUCUUUUUAAACUAGACAAAACUAAAGACCAAAAAGAAUAUAAAUAUCUAGAUAAGAGAUCAAAAAAAUAAUGAUCACGAUCAAAGGGAUAAAUUCUGGGCCAAGAGACAGGUAAACACCAAAAACGAACCAGCAGAGACACAAGGAAAGGAAACCCAAUAUAUAGAGCGGCACACAUGAGGAUCAGGUGAAAACAAUCAAGCAGACAAGGGCUAAACAAGGGGGCGUGACCAAGGGAAACAAGGAGGUGGGAUGAGAGGAGCAUGUGGCAGACACAAACAGAGACAGAACCAUGUGCUUAGACAAAACAAACAGUGAAACAUUGAACAAAGACAAGACUGUCAGGGCAGGUUCCUGUUAUUUCUCUUACUGUGCCUGCGUGAAAACAGAAGCAAAACCAUGCUGACAUGGCGUGUGGUUUGGAUGGAAGCGAUAGAGGCUACUCAGUUCCGGGUUGAUGCAUGCAUUCAGAAUGCACUGUUGGACACUAUUAGUUGAC
ensembl:lncRNA